GCAUGUGUUAUAAUGUUAAGAUUUCAUCAUUGAUAUAUAAACUAUUAGACUGCGUGGUCGGUAGUAGUGGCUUUCAGUAGGCCUUUAAGGCUCGGUAUUCCCUACCACGUACAACUGCUCAAGCCAGAGGUUUCUGAAAGCUUCGUUUUUAAAGGACAAAAACCUUAUGGAUGAUAUGCUAAAAUGCAUCGACAAAUAUGGAUUUGUGUGGACAUGGCCUUAAACACCAGUAUAAUGCAGUUGAUAAAACAACUAAAUAUACUAUUUUUGUCAAACUAAUGUUGUAUGUUGCUGGGCAGCUUUUGCAUUGACUUUGUUGUGUUUGUAUUAUUUACCAUGGCUUUAAAUGUGUGUAAUUACUUCUGAACAAGUAUAAGAGGCUAUGCACACCUAUGCUGCCAUUUUAUUUCAAAUAUGUUUUCUCGUUAAAGGAUUUGUUAGUUUUUUAACUGCGCUGCAUUAGUAAUUGUAUUGUUUUAUCUUAACAAUGUGUUUUUGUUUGACAUUAAAAAUGGCAUCUUAAAUAUUUUCCACUGUACAUACAGUGGAACCUCAACUGUCGAACGCCUUACAGCCCGUAAAAUUUGGUGUUCGACCAAAGUUCCAGUGAUUAAAAUGUCACUUUUAAUAAUGCAUGACGUCAUCACAUCACGUGACCCAUUAGUGCACCUCACUAGACCUCAUCUCAGCCAUCAUCAAAGGAUUAACUCUGCGUGUGUGUUGUGUUUGUUCUUUGGAUGUUUGCGACACUUUUUUCCUGAAAGAAGGACCAUUCCCAACAAGGGGUGUUAAGAGAAGAGCGUGAGAAGAAGAAAAAGAAGAUAAUGCACUGGGAGUUGAAAGCAGAAAGACUCUUGCGACGUCCAAGUACUUUUGUCCAGCGUUACACAGUUUUUCCGUUGCCAUGGAAGAUGAUCGCCAGUAGCCAUGAAGUGCUGCUUCUGUUAAGAGAUGUUUAGUGCCGCCACUGGUUUGAUUUCGGCGAGUUUUCUACUACUUCCUGUUUUUGUUCCCAUUCUGGCUGGCUUGAUUGGACCCUCCGCCAGUAUCAAGCAGCAUUUUGUUUACAAAUAACUUUGAUUUUGAUAAUUCUGUGACUGGUGUUGUGCAUUUGAGUCUGUUUGAGGCACUGACUGCUACAUUAGCUCCCCAUUCUAGCUGUUGACUGGCUAACUGCGAGUGUGUGUGUGUGUGUGUGUGUUUAUGUUUCAACCUUUUUCAUUAAAAUAGUGGAUGAUUUCAUUUUAUACGUGUAAUGUUACAAAAUUAGAUGCAUCAGCGACACCCUUCCUCAUUCGUCAUUAAGCUUAAGAGAGUGUUUACAGUGUUGUUUAUUUGACUUAUGCUCAUACUUGUAUGACAGUUAAUAAUGUUAAAAUGUAACUUAAAACAUUGUCUGUACAGUUAAUAAAGGACUUAAGAUUGCCACGUUUUGGAGUCUGGAACAAAUUAUUCAAACAUUUUGGAAAAUUUUGUCUGAAAACCCGAACAAAACGGAGAUUGACCAGCGUCACAAAACGGAUUCUGUUCGACUGUGGAGGUUCCACUGUAAUAGAACCCUGUGGUACACUAUCAAUCUUUACGAUCUGUGUUUGUCUCUAAUAGUCCGUCCCUCCUUUUAUCCCUCAAAGCUGUCUUCCCCCUUAUGUUGCUCUUCUGAUAUCACCCCUUCCUGUCUCAUUUCCCCCUCAGAGUAUUCAGACCAGCCAAUAGACGUCAAACAGAUAAGAUGGCAGCUGAGGACAAAGGAAAAGGAAAUGAGGCAGACAUGGAACAUGGGAGGAAACACGAAGACUGUGCAGGCCCAGCGAACACUAGUCCUACCCAGCAGUCUGCUGCUGUCAUACAAGAGAAGCAGCCUUCCACCAACGGACCGGCCUAACGACGCGGCAAAGUGAAACAAACUGGCUCAAAGGCGGACCAUUCAACAAACAGCCAUGCAUUCUUUGAAUCCUCUUAGCCCCCGUCAAGAUUUUUUUUCUAUGUGUUUAGAGAGGUUGAGCUCAAACGGUCCCAGAUAGUCUGCCAUGAACUUCCAUUCACUGAACUGCACAUCUAAAGACAAAUAACAUAUUAAUGGUGGGGAAAAAACGUUGUCAAGAGUGUGGCAAAUUCUGAAUUGAAUCCGAUCCUGGUCCUGUAUUAAACACAGCUUUAGAGCGUUUGACUGUUGAUAGCAAAUAAAUCACAAAACUAUAGUGGCCAUCUUUACUAUUGAGCGUUUUAAUUGACAUGCCAUGCAAACAUGUGGUCCAGACUUGUUUUGAACACACAUUUUGUCCAUAGCAAACCGGCCGUAUCGCCACUUCCUCCUUCGAGCUUUGACGGAUUCCUCUACUUUGUGUGUUUUUGCCUGUGCGUAGAUGAUGAUGACGGUGUGUGUGUGUGUGUGCGUGUGUGUGUGUGUGUGUGAGCUCUGUCUGACAUGCAGAGUGUAAUCUCAGGUCAAAGAAGAGGUAUGCAGAUAAAAGGAAAGCACACCUGUGUAUCACACACAUACACAGUUCAUUUACACACGUAUAUGUACACACACACACAGACACACAAAUAUACAUAUACAUGCUUUCAAAAUGAUUAAAAACUCCAAAAAGACACAGAUGUGCAUGUGCCCCAUCCUUCAAGCUGUGUCAAUGUAAUUGUGAAAUUUGCACCUGUAUUAGGAUGUGGCUACUCUUGGUAAUAUACAUGUAUACAGUAAUAUAUAUAUAUAUAUAUAUAUACACACACACACAAACACCAUAUCUAUUUUUUAAACAAAUCCAAUGUCUGAAAAGUUGUUUAGAAUAUGUGUGUUGUGUUGAAAUGAGGCAAUAAUGAAGUUUUGGUCAAUAUCCCAGCAUCGGUUCCUGAGGAUUUUGUUGUGUGCUAAUCAGUUUUAGCUGAUUAGGCCAUCUGCUGAAUCAGGGAGAAAGUCAAUAAAGUUAAUUGAAGCUUUCUGAGCACAAAGAUUGGUCAAGUUGCCUUCUGAGAGGAAACACACAUUUAUGUUAGCGACUUGUCAUCUCUUGCAAAGUUACUGUUAAUUGGCAUUUUCUUAAGAUGUUAUUGUAGUAUUUACACUUUGUGAAAGAGAAAAAUGACGGAUAUUACAUGACUAAAGAUCAGGAAAAUGAUUAUAUAUUUGGGUUAAACCUAACCUGCAGUGCAAGUGGCAAGUUUAUUUAUCCUUCCACUUGCCUCUCAUCCUGUUUCAGAGGAGAAGCGGUGACUUGAGUUCAAUAUUUGCCUAUCUGUGGAACUAUUUUCAUAGAUUUAGAGAAUUUCACAGGCACUUUUUGAAGAAAUAAGCACUUCCUGGCUUGAUUUGAAUGUCAUGUAUUUGUCUCACUCAUGUUCCCUUUUUGCAAGUCUUCCCAUCAGGUUUUUGUUUAAGGCUUCCAUAGUUUUUUUCAAUACACGUGACAUCGGUUCAUGUUAUAUUGGCUUUGUUGUUUCACAAAGUAAUCAGGGUAUGAGGCGGAAAACAGGGCUGUUUCAUGAGUGAAUGCAGUACAGGCCAAAAGUUUGGACACACCUCAUUCAAUGAGUUUUCUUUGUUUUCAUGACUAUUUACAUUGUAGAUUGUCACAUCAAAACUAUGAAUGAACACAUGUGGAGUUAUGUACUUAACAAAAA